rnacentral:lncRNA from 1 species
AUUUUUCUCACCCUUAUCUCUUUAUCCUCUUCAUCCGCGUCAACAAUCGGUCGUCAGUCGUAUCAACUAUCACCAUCUCGGUCACAAUAGCUUAUCGUCUCAACUCUUCGAUUACCUCGUCAUGUCACUUCCUUAGCCAUUAACAGUCGCCGCGUCACCACCUCAGCCAUAAUAGCUCAUCGCCUCAACUUUCUGAUCAUCAACAAUUCGUCACGCCACCAUCUCUGCGAAAUAGCUUAUCGAUUUUGGUUUUAUUAUUUGAUUUAUUUGGA